AACGAACGCUGGCGGCAGGCCUAACACAUGCAAGUCGAGCGCCCCGCAAGGGGAGCGGCGGACGGGUGAGUAACGCGUGGGAACGUACCCCUUUCUACGGAAUAGCCUCGGGAAACUGGGAGUAAUACCGUAUAAGCCCUACGGGGGAAAGAUUUAUCGGGAAGGGAUCGGCCCGCGUUGGAUUAGGUAGUUGGUGGGGUAAUGGCCUACCAAGCCGACGAUCCAUAGCUGGUUUGAGAGGAUGAUCAGCCACACUGGGACUGAGACACGGCCCAGACUCCUACGGGAGGCAGCAGUGGGGAAUCUUAGACAAUGGGCGCAAGCCUGAUCUAGCCAUGCCGCGUGAGUGAAGAAGGUCUUCGGAUUGUAAAGCUCUUUUGCCAGGGACGAUAAUGACGGUACCUGGAGAAUAACGCCCCGGCAAACUUCGUGCCAGCAGCCGCGGU
rnacentral:rRNA from 1 species